CGAAGCGUACCAUUGAUCAUGGAAUGAAGUUGGAGAGCUUGCUCAAAGAUGGAAUGAAGUAGGAUUUGGAUUCUGCGCUUAGUGGCGAACGGGUGAGUAACACGUGGGUAAUCUGCCUUCAAGUUGGGGAUAACAGUUAGAAAUGAUUGCUAAUAUCGAAUGUGCUAGUAAUAGUAAAGAUGCUCCAAAGCAUCGCUUGAAGAUGAGCCUGCGGUGUAUUAGCUAGUUGGUGGGGUAAUGGCCUACCAAGGCGACGAUGCAUAGCCGGACUGAGAGGUUGAACGGCCACACUGGGACUGAGACACGGCCCAGACUCCUACGGGAGACAGCAGUUAGGAAUAUUCGGCAAUGGGCGAAAGCCUGACCGAGCAAUGCCGCGUGUGAGAUGAAGGUCCUUUGGAUUGUAAAUCACUUUUAUUUGGGAAGAACAGUAGGUAUAGGAAAUGAUACUUAUUUGACGGUACCUUUUGAAUAAGCCCCGGCUAACUACGUGCCAGCCGCAGC
rnacentral:rRNA from 1 species